AGCCUCCCAUCCCCCCACCAUCAGGAGAUUAGUGUUAUCAUUCCUUGGUUGAGGAAACUAAGUCUGAAGAGUCCAAGGAAUCCAAGAUCACAGGCUAGAAGAAACCAUGAUUUGAUCCCCCUACCCUCUGAGGCAGAGGGAUCCACACUCUUCAUUCUACCACAGUUCUCAAUUCCUUGUGGACAACUGGAGGACUCUGAAGUGAUGAGGUUGAGGCUCAGCGUGCUUGCUUCUUGCCCCCGGGCCUCUGUGAGAACGCUAACUGAAGAACUCUUCCCAUUCCACUGGCUCGGAGAAGGAAGAGCCAGACGAAAGCCUACCCCAGGGGGAAAUCUUGCCCGCAGGUGUUGAUGGCAUACUUCCAUGGAACCUCCGAGGCCACAAGGUCUUUUAGGCAGUUCAGGUCUGCCU